GUUUUAGCUCUGGAGAUUUUAUUUUUAAUUCUCAUUUUAUGUUGCCUGCAGCAUUUAUCUUAGAAAUCCUUUCAUCUUUAAACAUGUUUAAGGCUCAGUUGCACUCAUCUCACACACUAGUAAAGUAAUGCUUAAAAUUCUCCAAGCCAGGCUUCAGCAAUACGUGAAUUGCGAACUUCCAGAUGUUCAAGCUGGUUUUAGAAAAGGCAGAGAACCAGAGAUCAAAUUGCCAACAUCUGCUGGAUCAUGGAAAAAGCAAGAGAGUUCCAGAAAAACAUCUAUUUCUGCUUUAUUGACUAUGUCAAAGCCUUUAACUGUGUGGAUCACAAUAAACUGGAAAAUUCUUCAAGAGAUGGGAAUACCAGACCACCUGAUCUGCCUCUUGAGAGACCUAUAUGCAGGUCAGGAAGAAACAGUUAGAACUGGACAUGGAACAACAGACUGGUUCCAAAUAGGAAAAGGAGUACGUCAAGCCUGUCUAUUGUCACCCUGCUUAUUUAACUUAUGUGCAGAGGACAUCAUGAGAAACACUGGGCUGGAAGAAGCACAAGCUGGAAUCAAGAUUGCUGGGAGAAAUAUCAAUAACCUCAGAUAUGCAGAUGACAGCACCCUUAUGGCAGAAAGUGAAGAGGAACUUAAAAGCCUCUUGAUGAAAGUGAAAGAGGAGAGUGAAAAAGCUGGCUUAAAACUCAACAUUCAGAAACCUAAGAUCAUGGCAUCUGGUCCCAUCACUUCAUGGGAAAUAGAUAGAGAAACAGUGGAAACAGUGUCAGACUUUAUUUUUGGGGGCUCCAAAAUCACUGCAGAUGGUGACUGCAGCCAUGAAAUUAAGAGACGCUUACUCCUCGGAAGGAAAGUUAUGACCAACCUAGAUAGCAUAUUCAAAAGCAGAGACAUUACUUUGCCAACAAAGGUCCUUCUAGUCAAGGCUAUGGUUUUUCCAGUGGUCAUGUAUGAAUGUGAAAGUUGGACUGUGAAGAAAGCUGAGCGUGAAGAAUUGAUGCUUUUGAACUGUGGUGUUGCAAGGAGAUCCAACCAGUCCAUUCUAAAGGAGAUGUCCUGGGUGUUCUUUGGAAGGAUGAUGCUAAAGCUGAAACUCCAAUACUUUGGCCACCUCAUGCGAAGAGUUGACUCAUUAGAAAAGACUGAUGCUGGGAGGGAUUGGGGGCAGGAGGAGAAGGGGAUGACACAGGUUGAGAUGGCUGGAUGGCAUCACCGACUUGAUGGACAUGAGUUUUGGUGAACUCCAGGAGUUGGUGAUGGACAGGAGGCUAGUGUGCUGCAAUUCAGGGUCGCAAAGAGUCAGACAUGACUGAGCGAACUGAACUGAACUG
rnacentral:lncRNA from 1 species